rnacentral:rRNA from 1 species
AUGAGAAUUUCCAUUGAUGAGUGCAAGGAAAGAACCGCUAGGAUGUGUGCUUACAAAGAUGCCUUUAUUAAAGUGUGUUCUUCCAAUCCCUAUGAAAAUCAAGAUGAAGAUCUAAAAGUUAUUGAUGUGUCCCCCAUUAAAUCUUUGUUUUGCAAUAUGAAUCUUGAUGAAUCUGAAUAUGAUCUUCCUUUACCUAGAAGGCGUUCUAAGAAUUCGGAGUUUCUAGAUCUUGAUGAUGAAAUUGAUGAAAGUGGGAUUGAAAUAAAUAAAAAUCAUGAUGUUGCUAAACCCACCAUUUUGGAUCUCAAGGAAUUUAAUUAUGAGAAUUGCUCUUUGAUUGGUUGUAUUUCCUUGUUGCAAUCCGUGCUAGAUUCUCCGCAUGCUUAUAGUCAAAAUAAGGCCUUUACCGAAAAUAUUUUUGAUGCUUUGAUGCAAUCUUAUGAAGAAAAACUUGAGUUGAAAGUUUCUAUCCCUAGAAAACUCUAUGAUGAGUGGGCACCUACUAUUUAA